rnacentral:rRNA from 1 species
CCGGUGACAAACCGGAGGAAGGUGGGGAUGACGUCAAGUCAUCAUGGCCUUUAUGACCAGGGCUACACACGUGCUACAAUGGCAAGUACAGAGGGAAGCCAACCGGCGACGGGGAGCAAAUCCCCAGAAAACUUGUCGUAGUCCGGAUUGGAGUCUGCAACUCGACUCCAUGAAGUCGGAAUCGCUAGUAAUCGCAGGAACAGCAUUGCUGCGGUGAAUAGUUCCCGGUCUUGUACACACCGCCCGUCACACCAUGGGAGUGUA